rnacentral:tRNA from 3 species
GGCAGGGUAGCUCAGUUGGUUAGAGCGUGGGACUCAUAAGCCCGAGGUCGAGAGUUCGAUUCUCUCCCCUGCUACCA